UUUGACAUUUUUUUCCAGCUCUGUUCAGGUCACUAAUUAAAAGCCGAGGAAGUGAGCAUACAUGAAAUCAUUCCUUCCGUACAGGCAAACAGAUGGAGAGAAAUUCCAGCCUGUUUCCAGUCUUUUGUCUUCAGGGCAUUUUUGGUAUUUCCUUCAGGAAGUGAGGUUACGACCCAAAGCCUUCCUUACUGAGCAGGCUGCAGUUUCCCACAGUAAAGCUCGCACAGUGAUGACAUGCACUAUGAGAAGGUGAGCUUUAUCUUCACACUCCAACUGCAUCCUGUACAAGUGCCGUGAAACUUAAAAGUAAGACCGAGUGGGAAUGGCAGCAAGAGAGGAAAUGGAAGUCGGGCCUUGGGAAGAAGUCAUGCAGCAUGUAUUCAAGCACACAGCCGCAGCGUGUGCUGCUGCACCAGGUGGAGCUCCAACUUGCCUGCUUCUUAGGAAUGUCCUGAUAUUGCAAUAAGGUGUGCUACCAUCAAGAUUCUUCUAAUGGCAUUUCAAUGACACAGCACGUGCUGACAAAAGAUCACAGAACAGAAUUCAUUUCGUAUCUUACAUGACCUUGCCAGUGGCAGCGUGCAUCUUCAACCAGAAAGAUGUCCACAAAAAUGGCUUAAUCCCAGAACCUACUGAAACGAAGGAGUCAUUUCCAUCAGUUCUGUCAACAACUUCCAUUAACAUCACCACACCCAUGGCAGUACCAAAGCACCAGCACUGUGAUAACAGCAUCUUUACAAAAAUCAGUUUAUUAAUGUUUAGAAGUCAAUAAAACUAUGUGCAAAUUGAACAACAGAAGUCAGAAACAUAUUAAAUACUAUUUUUUAAACCAGGAAAAAAAAAUCCAUUUAAUUGCACUGGAAAUUUUACUACAAAAGCAAUUAUUUUAUUUUAUUUUUUUUACAAAAUACCACUUCUAGGAGUUGUCCAUAACUGUAAAUCAGUCAGUUGCUCUCAGCUACCCCAGAUAUACCACUUUUGUUACAGUAAUACUCGAGGUGCGUGAAGACUCCUGUAUCUCAUUAACUUAUUUACAUUGUACACAUUCAACCCCAUUAGCACAGGUUAGAAAACCAGAGAAGUAAAAACGAUACUGUAAAACAAUACAUUCAUUUUAACGACAAGCACUUCUCCCACGAAGCCGUGAACUGAUAUAAUACAAACAUAUUUCCUGCAAUUAUGAACAUUAAUAGAAUGUGCCAAAAUGUGUUGCUUUUUGUUACAGAAGUGCAUUUAUCUACAGUCAUUUCACUUGAAAUCUUACUUUUCUGAAACUCAAGGCUUUCUUUUCAGAUGAUAUGACCGAUGUUUACCUUUUGCCUUUCUCACCUGACUCUAACCUUUGCCUUCAGCUUUUAGCUCUUUUCACCUCACUAAAAAUCCUGCUGUUGUCAGCAGUAUUUUAAUCUACUAGAUUCACUCUCCGUCAUCUUUACAAGAAGUGACCUUCAGUUCUACCUUGCAUUUUGUCACGAUAAUGCAGCUUAUUUAAUGCUAUAUAACAUGGCAAACAAGGCAUGGGGCCAAACGCUGCUCUGAGCGACUCCAUGAAACCUGACGCAGUCAUGGAAUAGUACAAGGGAGUGUAACUACAGAGCCUGGCUCUUGGUCUUCAAAUGUAAUAAGGACCACCAACAAAAAUUCACAGCUAUGAUCUUGCUAAAUUAAACUCCAACAGCUUUGGACCCUGCAAAUAAAACCUUACUAUUUAACUAAAAACUCUGGAAAGUGAUGUCAAAUUAUGGUUGACCGCGGUAUAAAUUAUACCUGUACACCAUCUCUUUCCUUGUUAUGUGUUAAACAAACACUUCUGACCAACUAUACGAGCCAUCGCUAAACCCAGUACAGAAAGAGCUUUGUGUCAGUGGUUUGCUGCAAGUAAAGGAAAAAUAACUUCACAUUCUUCUCACGGGGAAAA